UAGGGAAUCUUCCACAAUGGACGCAAGUCUGAUGGAGCAACGCCGCGUGAGUGAAGAAGGUUUUCGGAUCGUAAAGCUCUGUUGUUGGUGAAGAAGGAUAGAGGCAGUAACUGGUCUUUAUUUGACGGUAAUCAACCAGAAAGUCACGGCUAACUACGUGCCAGCAGCCGCGGUAAUACGUAGGUAGCAAGCGUUGUCCGGAUUUAUUGGGCGUAAAGCGAGCGCAGGCGGAAUGAUAAGUCUGAUGUGAAAGCCCACGGCUCAACCGUGGAACUGCAUCGGAAACUGUCAUUCUUGAGUGCAGAAGAGGAGAGUGGAAUUCCAUGUGUAGCGGUGGAAUGCGUAGAUAUAUGGAAGAACACCAGUGGCGAAGGCGGCUCUCUGGUCUGCAACUGACGCUGAGGCUCGAAAGCAUGGGUAGCGAACAGG
rnacentral:rRNA from 1 species